UUUCGCAAUGCCCGAAAGGGUGACGAAGCGACGCCGCGUGAGUGAGGAAGGCCUUCGGGUUGUAAAGCUCUGUCAGGAGUUAAGAAAUAUAAGUGUGUUAAUACCACAUUUAUUUGACGAAGGCUCCAAAGGAAGCCACGGCUAACUCUGUGCCAGCAGCCGCGGUAAUACAGAGGUGGCAAGCGUCGUUCGGAAUUAUUGGGCGUAAAGAGCACGUAGGUGGGUUUGUAAGUCAGAUGUGAAAGCCUUCUGUUCAACGGAAGAAUUGCAUCUGAAACUGCGAGUCUUGAGUGUAGGAGGGGAGAAUGGAACUUCUGGUGGAGCGGUGAAAUGCGUAGAUAUCAGAAGGAACGCCGGCGGCGAAAGCGAUUCUCUGGCCUAUUACUGACACUCAGUGUGCGAAAGCUAGGGGAGCAAACGGGAUUAGAUACCCCGGUAGUCCUAGCUGUAAACGAUGGGCACUAAGUAGAGGGGUUUU
rnacentral:rRNA from 1 species